GACGAACGCUGGCGGCGUGCUUAACACAUGCAAGUCGAACGGAAAGGCCCUGCUUUUGUGGGGUGCUCGAGUGGCGAACGGGUGAGUAACACGUGAGUAACCUGCCCUUGACUUUGGGAUAACUUCAGGAAACUGGGGCUAAUACCGGAUAGGAGCUCCUGCUGCAUGGUGGGGGUUGGAAAGUUUCGGCGGUUGGGGAUGGACUCGCGGCUUAUCAGCUUGUUGGUGGGGUAGUGGCUUACCAAGGCUUUGACGGGUAGCCGGCCUGAGAGGGUGACCGGCCACAUUGGGACUGAGAUACGGCCCAGACUCCUACGGGAGGCAGCAGUGGGGAAUAUUGCACAAUGGGCGGAAGCCUGAUGCAGCAACGCCGCGUGCGGGAUGACGGCCUUCGGGUUGUAAACCGCUUUCGCCUGUGACGAAGCGUGAGUGACGGUAAUGGGUAAAGAAGCACCGGCUAACUACGUGCCAGCAGCCGCGGUGAUACGUAGGGUGCGAGCGUUGUCCGGAUUUAUUGGGCGUAAAGGGCUCGUAGGUGGUUGAUCGCGUCGGAAGUGUAAUCUUGGGGCUUAACCCUGAGCGUGCUUUCGAUACGGGUUGACUUGAGGAAGGUAGGGGAGAAUGGAAUUCCUGGUGGAGCGGUGGAAUGCGCAGAUAUCAGGAGGAACACCAGUGGCGAAGGCGGUUCUCUGGGCCUUUCCUGACGCUGAGGAGCGAAAGCGUGGGGAGCGAACAGGCUUAGAUACCCCGGUAGUCCACGCUGUAAACGGUGGGUACUAGGUGUGGGGUCCAUUCCACGGGUUCCGUGCCGUAGCUAACGCUUUAAGUACCCCGCCUGGGGAGUACGGCCGCAAGGCUAAAACUCAAAGGAAUUGACGGGGCCCCGCACAAGCGGCGGAGCAUGCGGAUUAAUUCGAUGCAACGCGUAGAACCUUACCUGGGUUUGACAUGGAUCGGGAGUGCUCAGAGAUGGGUGUGCCUCUUUUGGGGUCGGUUCACAGGUGGUGCAUGGCUGUCGUCAGCUCGUGUCGUGAGAUGUUGGGUUAAGUCCCGCAACGAGCGCAACCCUUGUUCACUGUUGCCAGCACGUUAUGGUGGGGACUCAGUGGAGACCGCCGGGGUCAACUCGGAGGAAGGUGGGGAUGACGUCAAGUCAUCAUGCCCCUUAUGUCCAGGGCUUCACGCAUGCUACGAUGGCUGGUACAGAGAGUGGCGAGCCUGUGAGGGUGAGCGAAUCUCGGAAAGCCGGUCUCAGUUCGGAUUGGGGUCUGCAACUCGACCUCAUGAAGUCGGAGUCGCUAGUAAUCGCAGAUCAGCAACGCUGCGGUGAAUACGUUCCCGGGGCU
rnacentral:rRNA from 1 species